rnacentral:rRNA from 1 species
AUGGCCGGCGCGGGCUCGUCGGACGCGGAGGCGGAGCUGCGGCGGGGCUUCAAGGCCCUGGCAGUGACGCGGCCGGACCCGGCGGGCGCGGUCUACGAGGUGCGCCUCAGCCGCCCGGCGCAGCUCAACGCGCUCAGCCCGGACUCCUUCGCGGAGAUCCCGCGCGCCAUGGCGCUGCUCGACCGCAUCCCCGCCGCGCGCGCCGUCGUGCUGUCCGCCGCGGGCCCCCACUUCUGCGCGGGCAUCGAGCUCGGCGGGCCCGGGAACCCGCUCACUGCGCCCCCCGCCCGCGGCGCCGACCCCACGGCCAUGGCCGAGGGGCUCCGCCGCGCGAUCCUGGGCAUGCAGGCCGCGCUCACCGCCGUCGAGCUGUGCCGGAAGCCCGUCAUCGCGGCCGUGCACGGCGCCUGCGUCGGCGGCGGCGUCGAACUGGUGGCCGCCUGCGACAUACGCUACUGCUCCAGGGACGCCACCUUCGUGCUCAAGGAGGUGGACAUGGCCAUCGUCGCCGACCUCGGCGCGCUGCAGCGCCUGCCGCGGAUCGUCGGCUACGGGAACGCCGCUGACCUCGCCCUCACCGGCCGCAGGAUCACCGCCGCGGAGGCCAAGGAGAUGGGGCUCGUCAGCAGGGUGUUCGAUUCAAAGCAGGAGCUGGAUGCCGGUGUUGCGAAGAUAGCCAAGGAAAUAUCAGAGAAGUCAGCAAAUGCAGUAUUGGGAACGAAGGCCGUUCUGCUGAGAAGCAGAGAUAUAACAGUAGAGCAGGGCCUGGAGCAUGUCGCGACUUGGAACUCAGGAAUGCUGAGAUCUAAUGACCUGUUGGAGGCCAUCAAAGCUUUCAUGGAGAAGCGGAAGCCUGUUUUCUCUAAGCUCUGA